rnacentral:lncRNA from 1 species
GCUUGCCCUUCCCAAUUCCCCAGCCUCUUGGUACCCUGCAAGCUUCCAGCCCCUGCCCUACCUGCUACUCCAUAGCUCCACGGGGUUCCUGCCUCCAGGCUGGGUGAACAGAUGCCUCUGGCCAGCUGUGAGUGAAUGAUGUGAGAGAGAUACAGUCCUAGUUCUGCUGGAUCCCAAGCUCUCUGAGGGCAGGAUCCGGCAUCCUUCUGCAUUUAAAUCCCACUGCUUGUUGAUGGUCAGCAAAUGGGAGCAUGGAUGGAAGGAUGAAUGAAUGUGCCCAUCAUCUGCUUCCUGAUCAUAUCCUGCUCUUCCCAGCUCUGGUUUGUAUGACCCAAGGAAGCUUCACUCCCCAGACUCUCUUACCUUCUGGCUUCUGGAUGAGUCCAGUCAGUUAAAGGCACUGGAAGAAGGUGGGUAGAGAGAGAAGCCUAGAUCUUUGUCUCCAUGGGGCUGUAUUUCUACAGCAUCUGCCUCUCCUCCUUGGCUUCUGCCAAUAAGCCCCUCCUCUCAUAUUCCAGUUCUCCCUGGUUGACUACAGUGGCUCCAUGUUCUUCCUGGUCAUCUCUGUGUUGAGCUCUACUUACAACAUUCCCCAGUUCCAGCCCCAGGAAGGAAACAGUUUUCUAUGUGGCUAAUAUGGGCUCCCUACCUCUCUGUCAUCAGACAGAAUUGAGUCCACCAAUUAAAUCCAUCUGCUUGAAAUGCUUUGAGUGGUUUCUGAUUUGUCAGUGGCCUUGGGGGUGGGGUAAAUAAGUAUACAUGCUGUGUGACCCCUUCAGAAACAGAUUGUACGUGAACUUUCAGCUUUGAGUGGGCUCGAUCUGCUGGGGACCCCUAGCCCCUCUGAUGCGGCCGCCUG